AGGUCACUACAACAAUCUGGGCUCCGAGAUGGUGAGGGAGUUGUAGCAGACUCUGUGUGUUUGUGUGUGUGUGUGGUGUUGGGGACAGAGGGAUAGCUUUAUUCCAACAGCUGGGGACAGUGUCAGCUGAGCAUAUAGCUUCUGAUGCUGUGAGUGGAUAUUGACAACCGUGGGCCCUAGCUUCGUUAUUUUCCUUAACACUGAAGCUUUGGGAAAUAGAUGCCUUCUGUAAAGAUGAGCUGGCUGAGUGGUGAUGCCUGCCUGGUACUGCCGUGCAGAAAGAAGCAACAGAAUUUGUAGGCUGCAACUCCAUGCAUGUCUUUAGGUGACAGCAUUGCUUAGAAGCUUUACCUUCUGGUACAAUUUGGAAGCCUUUGGAUGUUACAUAAUGUUCUGGGGAAUAGGGAGUUGGCCUUAAUUGUCACCCAGAACAGUGGUUCCAAGAUGUUGGCUGACGAUCAGAGCAUAUCCAUGACAAAGAUCUCAUGUCUGGGCAGAAUGGAAAAGAACAUUGUGAAAUGUCAGCAGCUACUUAUAAUGUACUCAAGUACCUUCAUAGAAUUCUUAUUCUAAGAGUAUACCCUACCCCCAUCUUUCACGAGAGGUUAUCUUAUGGAAAUAGUAGCAGUAGUUGUCAUUUGUAAAAUCUCUCUUCCAUUAGAAAAAUAGCAACCUAAUUUUGAUAUAUUUAGCAGCGAAAGGAAUGUAUUACUUUACUUAGAAAGCCUAGUCUGGGAACCAUUAGCCUUAGGGGUCCAUGAAACUAUCCUGAGCCCUAGGUUUGUUUGAGUUGGUGCUAUUGUGCUGACAGUGCUGAGGCUCAGCACCCUAUCAGUAGCUUAUGGAGCAGCCGGCUCUCUUAGGGGACCCCCCUCAAGCAAAGCUGGAGCCUUGGCUACGGCGUAAGAAAAGAAUCUUAGGUUGAACCAGGGUGAAGUGAAGUUAGAGUGUUUGUUGUAAAGAUGAUAGUACAGUUUUUUGUAUCGAGAAUUUGGGUUUCUUUAAGAAUCCAGUUAUGUUAUAUGAAUAUGUUUUUGAUUUAGUCUUAGGUGUGGGAUAUGGGGCUGCCUUGGAUAGUCCACAGCAGCAGACUAUGAUUUGUCUCACUCUCUGGGAGGGGAGUGAUUUUGCCAGUUGAAGAUCCUCUGUAUUUGGGAUUCUGGUCUUGAGAGGGUACAAAAGUGCCACAGCCUGAGAGGCUGCUGAGAUUGCUGCUCCCCCUGUUGCUGCUGGUGGCUGUUUUUGCAGUUUGUCAAGUGAUCAGAGCAAAGACAGAAGAAGAAAUUGGAUAUCCUGACCGAGAAGGUCAAACUUGCUGCAAGGAACUCGACACCCUUAAUCAACAAGAGAGAUCAACACCCCCUUUCCCCUCUGACCUCCUUUCUCACCUACCUAAUGUUGUAGGGUUGGAAGGGAUUGGAGUGGAAAAGGUGUUAGAUAUAAGAACACAAUAAAGUAACCAAAAAACACUUUAGAUUUAAGUUUGGGGUGGGUGGAUGGGGUAUUUAGGAGAACUUCAGUACACACUCAGAUCUGAGCACAUACUUCUGAGAGUUACCUUGGGUGUCUUUAUAACGGCUAGAGAUGACUCUUCGUCAUCCUAAUUUGCACUGUUUAAAAGUUAUACUUUACAGUAUUAUAAUGAUUAAGUCAAGUUUAAACAUUUAAGUAAAAGAGGGUGGGGCUGGAGAAAUAGCUCAGUGAAGUGUUUGACAAGUGUCAUGAAGGCCUUAUGCAAAAGGGCUAGACAUAAUCUCAGCAUGGGCGGGAAGAAGAAAUAGGAAGCAACUUUGGGGUUGUUGGCUAGUAAGCCUAGCCCAGUUGGUGAAUUCCAGGUUGCAAUAAAAGCCCUUGUCUCAAAAACUGAGGUGGACAGAAGAAUGACACUGGUGGGUGACCCAUGACCUUCACGUGUAUGCAAAUAUACAAGUCUCUUCACACAUACACGAACAUACACACGUACCCGUAUCCCUACACAAACGGAUAAUAAAAUUAUGUUU
rnacentral:lncRNA from 1 species